GACGAACGCUGGCGGCGUGCUUAAUACAUGCAAGUAGAACGCUGAAGAGAGGAGCUUACUCUUCUUGGAUGAGUUGCGAACGGGUGAGUAACGCGUAGGUAACCUGCCUUGUAGCGGGGGAUAACUAUUGGAAACGAUAGCUAAUACCGCAUAACAAUGGAUGACACAUGUCAUUUAUUUGAAAGGGGCAAUUGCUCCACUACAAGAUGGACCUGCGUUGUAUUAGCUAGUAGGUGAGGUAAUGGCUCACCUAGGCGACGAUACAUAGCCGACCUGAGAGGGUGAUCGGCCACACUGGGACUGAGACACGGCCCAGACUCCUACGGGAGGCAGCAGUAGGGAAUCUUCGGCAAUGGGGGCAACCCUGACCGAGCAACGCCGCGUGAGUGAAGAAGGUUUUCGGAUCGUAAAGCUCUGUUGUAAGUCAAGAACGGGUGUGAGAGUGGAAAGUUCACACUGUGACGGUAGCUUACCAGAAAGGGACGGCUAACUACGUG
rnacentral:rRNA from 1 species